UUUUUAAAAUUUAUUUAUUUCUAUUAUUAAAAAUUAGCAUAAUUAACCGAAUAAUUAAACAGUGGCACAUGGUGUGCCCGGUGUAACUUAUGUUGACAUAUAUGGAUCAUUUUUAACCAUAGAAAUGAAUAAAAUUUUAAUAA
rnacentral:pre_miRNA from 1 species